GAACAGUGUUGUGCUCGCACAUCGUCGGAGGAACGCUCUGAACAGCGACGUGUGUGUAUAUCGAGCUGGAGAGCAUGCUAGCUGAUGGCUAACACUGAAAUAGCGCCCUUGGAACGGCAGAAUGAGUUCAUUGCUCUUUUACACUGCCUGCUGGAGCCGGAGCUGUAAUUCCAGUUAGUGAGGGAUCAGAUGGAGGUCACCGCUGGCCUGUGGGGGCUGCAGCGCACCACAACUCCACCGAGCCUCCCCGGACUACAUUACAGCUUUUAUCCUCACUAAUGGGAUCUCUUGGUGGGGAAUCCCAAGGGUGAUGGGGAUUAAGAUACCUGGCUUCGCUCCCAUGCGCCGUUUACCAUGUGGGGCGCAGCAAAUAUG
ensembl:lncRNA